rnacentral:tRNA from 1 species
AUUUAAAUAGUUUAAAAAAAACAUUAAUUUGUGGAAUUAAAAAUAUGAUAAUUUUCAUUUUAGAUA